GCGGAAGUAGCUCAGCGGUAGAGCAUCGCCUUGCCAAGGCGGGGGCCGCGGGUUCAAAUCCCGUCUUCCGCUCCA
rnacentral:tRNA from 1 species